UGGGGAAUAUUGCACAAUGGGGGAAACCCUGAUGCAGCGACGCCGCGUGGAGGAAGAAGGUCUUCGGAUUGUAAACUCCUGUUGUUGAGGAAAAAGAGGAUGGUACUCAACAAGGAAGUGACGGCUAACUACGUGCCAGCAGCCGCGGUAAAACGUAGGUCACAAGCGUUGUCCGGAAUUACUGGGUGUAAAGGGAGCGCAGGCGGGUAUGCAAGUUGGGAGUGAAAUGCAUGGGCUCAACCCAUGAACUGCUUUCAAAACUGUGUAUCUUGAGUAGUGCAGAGGUAGGCGGAAUUCCCGGUGUAGCGGUGGAAUGCGUAGAUAUCGGGAGGAACACCAGUGGCGAAGGCGGCCUACUGGGCACCAACUGACGCUGAGGCUCGAAAGUGUGGGUAGCAAACAGG
rnacentral:rRNA from 1 species